CAGCCGCCACGGGAAUACGUAGGUGGCAAGCGUUGUCCGGAAUUAUUGGGCGUAAAGGGCUCGCAGGCGGUUUCUUAAGUCUGAUGUGAAAGCCCCCGGCUCAACCGGGGAGGGUCAUUGGAAACUGGGAAACUUGAGUGCAGAAGAGGAGAGUGGAAUUCCACGUGUAGCGGUGAAAUGCGUAGAGAUGUGGAGGAACACCAGUGGCGAAGGCGACUCUCUGGUCUGUAACUGACGCUGAGGAGCGAAAGCGUGGGGAGCGAACAGGAUUAGAGACCCCCGUAGUCCCUGUCUCUUAUAC
rnacentral:rRNA from 1 species